CUCACAGCCCCAGAGACUGAAGACCUCUAUCCACAGGAGAGGCACAGCAUCAUAGCUAGCUUCCACCACACCUGCCCCUGCCGGUGUGCCUCUCUCUUGGCCGCAGGGACCCCCUGUAGGCUUAGGGGAUAAUUUGAUCUCCAUGGCCCAUUCAGUCCUUGGCCUCU
rnacentral:sRNA from 1 species